ACGGGUGAGUAAUGUAUGGGGAUCUGCCCGAUANAGGGGGAGUAACUACUGGAAACGGUGGCUAAUACCGCAUAAUGUCUACGGACCAAAGCAGGGGCUCUUCGGACCUUGCACUAUCGGAUGAACCCAUAUGGGAUUAGCUAGUAGGUGGGGUAAAGGCUCACCUAGGCGACGAUCUCUAGCUGGUCUGAGAGGAUGAUCAGCCACACUGGGACUGAGACACGGCCCAAACUCCUACGGGAGGCAGCAUG
rnacentral:rRNA from 1 species